UGUCUUCCAGGCAGACUCUGACUAACAUAGUCGAAUCUGCUUCAUUCAUCUUUGUGACCCAUAUCUGAUGUUUCUUCUUGGUUUGCACUUUGACCAUAAACUGACUUGUUGCAAGCACUUUAGAAACUGUCUUUAAUCCUGGAGGAGAGAGGCUUCAAAUUGCCUUUAUUUUUCAACCUCGCUGAUUUGAGGGUCUAUUUGUCCAGGGUCCACGGAGGCAUGCCAGACAGAAACUGCUGAGAGCAAGCAGGGGGUGUGCAGGCUGCAUGAUUCCUUGGGUUCUGAUGGUCUUUGUUGGAAGGUAGUUUCUCUCUGAUGAGAUGUUAUUUUGAAUAUUAUAAUCUUUUGGAAAAAUAACGCUGUCAUCAUCUGCGUAUGUUUUCUUUCUUCAGUAGCAUUGCCGAGGGAUAUUCAGCAUUUUUAUCAUAGACUGUGCAGCUUUCAGGAAGAAAAACAAACAUCUAAAGAGAAAACACACCAUGUUUGGUGGCAGUCUCCAGUUAUCGAGAUCUGGAUCACUGAAAGAGCUGAGGCAUCUAAAGUUUCAAGAGGUUCAAAGCUACACAUCUUAUUCAUCCUUCUCCAGAUGAAUUUCCUAUGGGAAGCCACUUUGAC
rnacentral:lncRNA from 13 species